GCUGUGAUGGCCGAGUGGUUAAGGCGUUGGACUCGAAAUCCAAUGGGUUCUUCCCGCGCAGGUUCAAAUCCUGCUCACAGCG
rfam:Mesocricetus auratus contig191459, whole genome shotgun sequence.